rnacentral:rRNA from 1 species
GGAUGCGAUCAUAGCAGCACUAAAGCACCGGAUCCCAUCAGAACUUCGGAGUUAAGCGUGCUUUGGCGAGAGUAGUACUAGGAUGGGUGACCUCCUGGGAAGUCCUCGUGUUGCAUUCC